UACGUAGGGGGCAAGCGUUGUCCGGAAUCAUUGGGCGUAAAGAGCGCGUAGGCGGAAGCUUAAGCGUGGCCUGAAAGCCCCCGGCUCAACCGGGGAGGGUGGCUGCGAACUGGGCUUCUUGAGGUCGAUAGAGGAGAGCGGAAUUCCUGGUGUAGCGGUGAAAUGCGUAGAUAUCAGGAGGAACACCGGUGGCGAAGGCGGCUCUCUGGGUCGGACCUGACGCUGAGGCGCGAAAGCGUGGGGAGCGAACGGG
rnacentral:rRNA from 1 species